rnacentral:rRNA from 1 species
GGACGAACGCUGGCGGCGUGCUUAACACAUGCAAGUCGAACGGAAAGGCCCUGCUUUUGUGGGGUGCUCGAGUGGCGAACGGGUGAGUAACACGUGAGUAACCUGCCCUUGACUUUGGGAUAACUUCAGGAAACUGGGGCUAAUACCGGAUAGGAGCUCCUGCUGCAUGGUGGGGGUUGGAAAGUUUCGGCGGUUGGGGAUGGACUCGCGGCUUAUCAGCUUGUUGGUGGGGUAGUGGCUUACCAAGGCUUUGACGGGUAGCCGGCCUGAGAGGGUGACCGGCCACAUUGGGACUGAGAUACGGCCCAGACUCCUACGGGAGGCAGAAGUGGGGAAUAUUGCACAAUGGGCGGAAGCCUGAUGCAGCAACGCCGCGUGCGGGAUGACGGCCUUCGGGUUGUAAACCGCUUUCGCCUGUGACGAAGCGUGAGUGACGGUAAUGGGUAAAGAAGCACCGGCUAACUACGUG